AGGACGAACGCUGGCGGCGUGCCUAACACAUGCAAGUCGAACGAGGUCCAACCGGUGGCAACACUGGUGAAGACCUAGUGGCGAACGGGUGAGUAUCACGUGAGCAACCUGCCCCGAAGACUGGGAUAACACCGGGAAACCGGUGCUAAUACCGGAUACCCCCACCGGAUCGCAUGGUCUGGUGAGGAAAUGAAUUUUGCUUUGGGAGGGACUCGCGGCCUAUCAGCUUGUUGGUGGUGUAACGGACCACCAAGGCUUCGACGGGUAGCUGGUCUGAGAGGACGAUCAGCCACACUGGGACUGAGACACGGCCCAGACUCCUACGGGAGGCAGCAGUGGGGAAUCUUGCGCAAUGGGCGAAAGCCUGACGCAGCAACGCCGCGUGGGGGACGAAGGCCUUCUGGGUUGUAAACCCCUUUCAGCAGGGACGAUGAUGACGGUACCUGCAGAAGAAGCCCGGCAACUACGUGCCAGCAGCCGC
rnacentral:rRNA from 1 species